UGGGGAAUAUUGGGCAAUGGGCGCAAGCCUGACCCAGCAAUGCCGCGUGGGUGAAGAAGGUCUUCGGAUUGUAAAGCCCUUUCGACGGGGACGAUGAUGACGGUACCCGUAGAAGAAGCCCCGGCUAACUUCGUGCCAGCAGCCGCGGUAAUACGAAGGGGGCUAGCGUUGCUCGGAAUUACUGGGCGUAAAGGGCGCGUAGGCGGUUUGGUCAGUCAGGCGUGAAAUUCCCGGGCUCAACCUGGGGGCUGCGCUUGAUACGGCCAGACUUGAGGAUGGAAGAGGCUCGCGGAAUUCCCAGUGUAGAGGUGAAAUUCGUAGAUAUUGGGAAGAACACCGGUGGCGAAGGCGGCGAGCUGGUCCAUUACUGACGCUGAGGCGCGACAGCGUGGGGAGCAAACAGG
rnacentral:rRNA from 1 species